rnacentral:rRNA from 1 species
GACAGAGGGUGCAAACGUUGUUCGGAUUUACUGGGCGUAAAGAGCUCGUAGGCGGUUUGUCGCGUCUGCUGUGAAAACCCGAGGCUCAACCUCGGGCCUGCAGUGGGUACGGGCAGACUAGAGUGCGGUAGGGGAGAUUGGAAUUCCUGGUGUAGCGGUGGAAUGCGCAGAUAUCAGGAGGAACACCGGUGGCGAAGGCGGGUCUCUGGGCCGUAACUGACGCUGAGGAGCGAAAGCAUGGGGAGCGAACAGG